AGAUCAGCAAGGAAGAAGUCACUACGCUCAACGAGAAGACCAACAGACAGAUACGGAUCCGUGAAUGGCUUCGCCAACUUUCCCAGGAGGCUCAGCUCAUUGUCAUGAGUCUACCUAUUCCCAGGAAGCGUACUUGUUCAGCUGACAUGUACAUGUGCUGGCUGGAGACAUUAUCCAAGGAUAUGCUGUCAGCAGGGGCGUACUUAAUUGCAUCAUUUGACCAAAUAUGGCAUCCAAAUAAAAGUCGAUACAACGAAUUUCACUUGAAAUACCAUAAAGUGACAAAGGACAAUUCCAACCAGUUGAAAGACCCUCCUCACUUGAAUGGAAUUUGUGCUUUGUUUUGAUU